AGCUUUUUGCUGGAGACUCCUGCCUACCUGAGGUCUUCUGAAGGAGUAGAGCCUUCCUGAAAUGUUCUUGUCCCCUCCAAGAACACUCUGAAGAAAAGCCAUCCUUCAAGGCUCAAAUCUAUGACAGCUUAUGAAGAAGAGCUAAUACAGAAGAUCCCAUCCUAAGCCUGGGAAAAGGGGGAGAGAGGACAAACCUAGCUGAGCAGUGGAGCAGGAAAGUCCUGUUAGGCACAUGAAGAGGAAGAGAGAGAAGAGGAAAGGAGAAGACAGGGAUGCAUUGAUGAGGGCAGUACAGACCAAAGGAGGCAUGAGCAGAGCAUGGAUGUUCAUAGGGACAAUUCAGCUGGCUGGCCAGUAGCUUAUUAUCCAUCCCUAUUCAAGGAACACUUUUCCAAGAAACACUUCAGCUUCCAGCACAGUAACUACAGAGGAAAUGCUGCUGGCUGCGGUGCAGCAUGACAAGUAGUAAUCUCUCCUCAUGCAAACUUAAAGUAUAGGCUUUAAGUGUAGCAAGCGUUCCCUAGGGCAAGUGAGACUGACAUGGCACCUCAGCACGUGUACUACCCAACUCUGGGAUUUCAAACUACAUGCCAUUCCCUUCCAGUUGGAGACAAGUUUAUGAGCUUGAGCAGGCAAUGAAAGCUUCUUUCCAUACUAAUGAAAUGUCCAAGUCCUAAUGGAUUAGUAGUUUUCAUAUCAGAUUAAAUCUGCUUUUUUUUUUUUGUUUUGUUUUGUUUUUUGCUGAUAAAGGCACAAAAGUCACUCCUAAUAGGCUUUCACAUUUUGUUAGCAAAAAUACAUUUCAAUAGAGCACAGUGCCAAUGAGAUACAAACAAGACAGAAAAGGCCCUAACACGUUAUGACGGACUGCUCAGAAGCUCUACUUUCCUCCAACUGGCCAGAACACAGAGAGACAACUUGCAGAGGUUUAUUGCUGAUGCAUAGAAACCCUAAGGGCAUGUUUCUAGAAACUCAUGCACAGCCAGCCAACCUCUGGUCUCCACAGAUGUCCCUGGAGCUGUGCUGGAGCCCUGAUCAGGCUUGGGGACUCUGGAGCCUGGGGAAGUUUUCAGGCUAUUUUGAUAGUAGAAGCUAUUCCAUUGAUUUGUGAAGCCACUGAUUGAAUAGAGAUCCCAAAUUCAAUGGCUCACCAGUAACUUUUCACCCUACAAGACUACAAGUGUUGGGAUAAAAUAUCAACGAUGCAGUUCCUCCACAUUUGCUUAAAGACAACAGCCUCAGACAUAUACCCCAGGUGAAACCAUACAUCCUGUUGUGCUUUGUAAGCAUGUUAAAAUCCCUUCAUGUGCCAAUUCUUUCAGUGACUCUUCUGUGGGAGUGAUAUAAAGUAUAGGAUAAUAUUGUCUCUACCCAUGAGUAACCUGAUAGCUAUUUUUUAAAAUGGCUGUUUUUGUUCUUGUUGUUAUUGUUUUCUUUACAUCUGUAAACUUUUCUAUUUGUUAUUUUGGUUCCUAACAAAGUGAUUGCUGUUUCAAUCAGUGUUCCAAUAUGCUCCCCUCCUUUAGUUUCUGAAUGAGUCUAAGGUAACUUCUAGACAGGAAGGGAAAAAGAGAGAUGAGUUAUAGCACCUGAAGUCAGAAAGAGAAUUCUGAAAGGAAAAUGUAAUUAAGAAAUAAAUUGAAAAAUGGAAGCACCUG
ensembl:lncRNA